AUACAUUAAAACCCAUAGAAGAAGGAAAGCAUACAACAUAAGGACAUAGUAACCAAGGAAACCAAACCCUAACUUAACUGAUGUAGUACAUAGGGUCAGGGACCUUAAAGGUUCUCAGGCCUGUAGGGGUCCCAAGAAUAUCACUCCAUUGCUCUCCCAUGUUUCCAACAAUUGUAUAACCUUGCACUUCAAGUUGCCUUCUCUUUCCAGAUUUGUAUACUACAGCAUUUCCCUCAUCCUCAGGCUGCC